rnacentral:rRNA from 1 species
AUGAGUAUACUCCAGAAUGAUCCUACCAUAGGAUGUAAAGAACUACAAGAAAACCUCCAAGAAACUUAUGACAUCACCAUUUGUUAUCAUACUGUUUGGACAGGUAAAUCUAGAGCCGAAAAAAAGAUUUAUGACACUUUGAAGCAGAGUUUUCAGAAUUUGCAUAACUUCAAAGCAGAAGUUGAGAAGAGAUCUCCGUGGAGCAUCGUAGAGGUUGAUACCAAGGUAGUAGAUGGUAAAGUACACUUUCAUAGAUUCUUUAUGGCUCUUAAACCUUCCAUAGAUGGUUUUCUAGCUGGUUGUAGACCAUAUCUUAGCAUAGACUCUACGACAUUGAAUGGUAGAUGGAGAGGACACUUCACUGGCUUGUACAACAUUAGUGGUCAUAACUGGAUGUUUCCUGUUGCAAUUGGGUUCAUUGAUGGGGAGACUGAGGAAAACUAUACUUGGUUCAUGUCACAACUCAAUAGAGCUUUAGGUUCAUUCCCUAACUUAGAUAUAUGUACAGAUGCAUGCAGAGGUUUAGAAAAUGUUGUCAAAAAGGUUUUUCCUCAUGUGGAGUGA